CAUGCAGUCGAGGGGUAACAGGAGUAGCUUGCUACUUGCUGACGACCGGCGCACGGGUGCGUAACGCGUAUACAAUCUACCUUAUACUGGGGAAUAGCCUUUGGAAACGAAGAUUAAUGCCCCAUAGUAUUAUUGAAUGGCAUCGUUUAAUAAUUAAAACUCCGGUGGUAUAAGAUGAGUAUGCGUUCUAUUAGUUAGUUGGUAAGGUAACGGCUUACCAAGACAUCGAUAGAUAGGGGUCCUGAGAGGGAGAUCCCCCACACUGGUACUGAGACACGGACCAGACUCCUACGGGAGGCAGCAGUGAGGAAUAUUGGACAAUGGGCGCAAGCCUGAUCCAGCCAUGCCGCGUGCAGGAAGACUGCCCUAUGGGUUGUAAACUGCUUUUAUAUGGGAAGAAUAAGGGGUACGUGUACUCUGAUGACGGUACCAUAAGAAUAAGCACCGGCUAACUCCGUGCCAGCAGCCGCGGUAAUACGGAGGGUGCAAGCGUUAUCCGGAAUCAUUGGGUUUAAAGGGUCCGUAGGCGGGCAUAUAAGUCAGUGGUGAAAUGCUGUGGCUCAACCAUAGCACUGCCAUUGAUACUGUAUGUCUUGAAUUAUUGUGAAGUGGUUAGAAUAUGUAGUGUAGCGGUGAAAUGCUUAGAUAUUACAUAGAAUACCGAUUGCGAAGGCAGAUCACUAACAAUAUAUUGACGCUGAUGGACGAAAGCGUAGGUAGCGAACAGGAUUAGAUACCCUGGUAGUCUACGCCGUAAACGAUGGAUACUAGUUGUUUGGCUUUCGGGCUGAGUGACUAAGCGAAAGUGAUAAGUAUCCCACCUGGGGAGUACGUUCGCAAGAAUGAAACUCAAAGGAAUU
rnacentral:rRNA from 1 species